rnacentral:misc_RNA from 1 species
AAUUGGUCCGGAGAAGAAAUUAUUAUCUAGAUGAUAUGAACUCACAUUUGAUGAAACACUGGCAGAGGACCUGUAAAGUUGUUAUAAUUCAAGAAGACAAUAGCUUGCUGUCGGAACCUUAUUGUGCUUGGCACUUCUCCAGUUAACAGAUUAUGGCUGAAGUCUAGUACAUCCAAGAACAAAUCCAACUCCCAGAACCAUUUUGGUAUUGCGCCA